AAAAAUAUAUGAGAAUCGCUGUAGGGGAGAGUGGGGUGAAUUGUACCAGUUUUUACUCAGAGUGACUUUAAAGUGAGGCCAUGACAGUAACGCCUCCAACUUAAGUAUG